rnacentral:rRNA from 1 species
ACUCCUACGGGAGGCAGCAGUGGGGAAUAUUGCACAAUGGGGGAAACCCUGAUGCAGCGACGCCGCGUGAGUGAUGAAGUAUUUCGGUAUGUAAAGCUCUAUCAGCAGGGAAGAUAAUGACGGUAC